rnacentral:miRNA from 1 species
CAUCCCAAUUUGAAGAUACCG